UUGAGGAAUAGUUAAGGUUGUUUAGGUUGCAAGAGAAAACUAAAGGGUAUAAAAAUAUCUGAAAGGCUGCCGCAUGCAACAGAAGGCAGGACCCAUUGAAAUUGAGACAAGGACAAAAGGCUUGAAAUUAAAAGAAAGACAAUUCAGUGUGAAUAUAAGGAGGAACAUCAUUAAACUAAGAGCUGUGAAACAGUGGAACAGUCUGCCAAAAAAUAUGCUGGACUCUUUCCUACUGGAGGUUUUCUAAAUGACCACGUGGCAGGCCUGGUGAACUCCUAUUCACCAGAUAACCUUCCCCUCCACACACAGUAUAAUGACAC